rnacentral:rRNA from 1 species
AUUGAACGCUGGCGGAAUGCUUUACACAUGCAAGUCGAACGGCAGCACGGACUUCGGUCUGGUGGCGAGUGGCGAACGGGUGAGUAAUGUAUCGGAACGUGCCCAGUCGUGGGGGAUAACGUAGUGAAAAUUACGCUAAUACCGCAUACGAUCUAUGGAUGAAAGCGGGGGAUCGCAAGACCUCGCGCGAUUGGAGCGGCCGAUAUCAGAUUAGGUAGUUGGUGGGGUAAAGGCCCACCAAGCCAACGAUCUGUAGCUGGUCUGAGAGGACGACCAGCCACACUGGAACUGGUACACGGUCCAGACUCCUACGGGAGGCAGCAGUGGGGAAUUUUGGACAAUGGGCGAAAGCCUGAUCCAGCCAUUCCGCGUGCAGGAUGAAGGCCCUCGGGUUGUAAACUGCUUUUGUACAGAACGAAAAGGUUUCUACUAAUACUAGGAGCUCAUGACGGUACUGUAAGAAUAAGCACCGGCUAACUACGUGCCAGCCGCCGCCGCAG